UGAUCUGAAACAAAAAUAAUAAUUAUUUGUUAUAAAUGGUUAAGGUAUAUUUGAUAUUGCAGUUUAACACAUACUCUAGUUAUGCGCUGUAAAAGCGGCUGAACUGUAUGACGCCAUUAUCAAUUUUGUACGAACAAAGAGCGCGGAGCACGUUGGCGCGAGAAAAGGGAAAUGGCUUAUGCUCCGGAAAUGCUGGAAAUUGACGGAGGAAUCAACGGACACUCUGAGGAAGGAGCCGUAAAGAAAAACAAGCGGUUGGAAACGGACAAGGCAGAAGUUUGGGAGGUUAUAAAAACAUGGCUGAAGCAUGCCGCAGAAAAACUGAAGAAGGAGCAGCGGAAGCUGCAGCCUGAUGAAUAAUAAGAUUAUUUGUUGCAUACAGUGGAAAACUUCUAGUCAAACUUUUAAUCCUGUAAUGCCCAGAGUGAUACUGAGCGUCGUUGGUUGUUUGUAACUUACGCUGUGGAAAGUAGACAUAUCUCAAUUUCUUUUUCAACUACAAAAGAUACUGGCUGUAUCAGAUGUUAUACAUUGGGCAAUUAAUAAACUAUAUCUAUGAACAACAC
rnacentral:misc_RNA from 1 species